rnacentral:rRNA from 1 species
UGCGAAGGGUGCAAGCGUUACUCGGAAUUACUGGGCGUAAAGCGUGCGUAGGUGGUUUGUUAAGUCAGAUGUGAAAGCCCCGGGCUCAACCUGGGAAUUGCAUUUGAUACUGGCUAACUAGAGUGAGGUAGAGGAGAGUGGAAUUCCCGGUGUAGCAGUGAAAUGCGUAGAGAUCGGGAGGAACAUCAGUUGCGAAGGCGGCUCUCUGGACCAUCACUGACACUGAGGCACGAAAGCGUGGGGAGCAAACAGG